GAUGAACGCUAGCGGGAGGCUUAACACAUGCAAGUCGAGGGGUAAAUGGUAGCAAUACUAUGAGACCGGCGGACGGGUGCGUAACGCGUAUGCAACAUACCUUGUGCAGGGGGAUAGCCCGUGGAAACGCGGAUUAAUAUUCCAUAGUCCAGCUAUAUCGCAUGGUAUAGUUGGUAAAGAUUUAUCGGCACAAGUUUGGCAUGCGUCUGAUUAGCUUGUUGGUAGGGUAACGGCCUACCAAGGCUACGAUCAGUAGGGGUUCUGAGAGGAUUAACCCCCACACUGGUACUGAGACACGGACCAGACUCCUACGGGAGGCAGCAGUGAGGAAUAUUGGUCAAUGGGCGGAAGCCUGAACCAGCCAUCCCGCGUGAAGGAAGACAGCCUUACGGGUUGUAAACUUCUUUUCUGUCAGAAGAAUAAGCUUGUCGAGACGAGUGAUGCCGGUAUGACAGGAAUAAGCAUCGGCUAACUCCGUGCCAGCAGCCGCGGUAAAA
rnacentral:rRNA from 1 species